rnacentral:rRNA from 1 species
UACGAAGGGGCUAGCGUUGCUCGGAAUCACUGGGCGUAAAGGGUGCGUAGGCGGGUUUUUAAGUCAGGGGUGAAAUCCUGGAGCUCAACUCCAGAACUGCCUUUGAUACUGAAGAUCUUGAGUUCGGGAGAGGUGAGUGGAACUGCGAGUGUAGAGGUGAAAUUCGUAGAUAUUCGCAAGAACACCAGUGGCGAAGGCGGCUCACUGGCCCGAUACUGACGCUGAGGCACGAAAGCGUGGGGAGCAAACAGG